GCUGGACCUUAAUUACACUUGGAGCAUUUCCUUCAGAACACACCUCAUUAUAUACCGGCCUCUGGACAGCCUCACUGUUUCUGACAGCUGCCUCUCUCUGUGUCAGGUGCUUAUUACCUGCUCUUCCUCCCCUGUGGACUUCCAAACAGGUGUCUCAGCCCGUGUCUGUGUUAUACGACUGCUGUGUUUUCAUUACCUGAACGUGCCCUAGAUAUGCAGUGGAAACAGAGGAUGACUGUACUGUCAAGUUUUUCCUGAAUGGACUGUUUGGUGGACUACAACGUGUGACUGAGUUUGUACUGGUGUGGGCCCCACGUGCUGACGUACCAGCCAUCAAGCAUCCAUAUUCUCUGGUCUCAGCAGGAGGCAGACAGGCAGUGUUUUUCUGCAUCCCAGUUGCACAGCAGAAUUUCCUGCACCGCAUCUGCAAUCUCCCUCACCUUGAUGUUGUUAGACAUAUUACCUUUGAGAGAAUGAAAGAGCGUCUUUCUGCAGGAGAGGAUGAAAGGGCGCUGGCCUCCAUCUUAGCAGCACGGAGACGAUCUCUCCGCAGGGCACCGCAGCUUUCUGAUGCCUCCUGACAGCUCAGGACUUUCCUCAACUUUCAAGUCGUGAUACAGUAGUCAAAUAGCUCUGGGGGAGAAAGAAACCAUAAUGGGAGAGAUGAGAGAGAGGGAAUCUUAUCUCCUUUUUUUUUUUUUCUUUUUAGCUUAACAAGUGCUGCGAUCUAAUUACCUGGGCAGAGACGUCUGGAGAUGAGAGAAGAUUCUAGAAAUGUGUUUGUGUUAUGUAUGUGCACAUAUGAUGAUAUUUUUACUCACAAAGAACUUGUUACAAAAUGUGUAAAGGAUAUAGCAUGUAAAUGUAUAGACACAAAUGAAUGGAGACGGCGGUUCCGACAAAUGUACCAAACUGUAACGAGCAGUAUUAAUAAUGAUAGUUCAUAUGACGAGAAAAGAGUGUGAUUGGUUAGUUUUGAUGUUUUUGGUCUGUGUUGCAUUUAUAUUUCACUUGAACCGCACCCGAGUUUGUUUAGAAGCGGGUCGAGAGUCCCAUCUUUUUAGGAGGUCUCGGUCCAUUUGUUUAAUGUACUGUACUAACAGAGCAAUCACAUUGAUUUAAUCCAAACCUGGCAAGUGUGAAAAAAAAAAUGAAAAAAAAAAAAAGGUUCCAAAAGGGUUUUUGCAGCGAUGCCAUAGAAGAGUCAUCUUUGGUUUUCCCCAAGAACCUGAAAAGGUUCCAUGAUUGUUAAAGUUCUUCAUGGGACCAUAGAUGUCAACAUUAAACCUUUAUUUUUAGAGAGUGUAAUAGCAGACAACCUGGAUUAUACAGAACAAACUGAUCCACUGCUGCUAAUCAAAUGCGUAUGCACGUACAAACACAGAGAAAGCUGAAUGAAGAGAGGAUUUGAAGCCUAUUAGAUUGGUGAUGUGAACACAGGCAUAGACAUGUCAUGCUUAAUUCUGGUCCA